GAUGAACGCUGGCGGCGUGCCUAAUACAUGCAAGUCGAGCGAACAGACGAGGAGCUUGCUCCUCUGACGUUAGCGGCGGACGGGUGAGUAACACGUGGAUAACCUACCUAUAAGACUGGGAUAACUUCGGGAAACCGGAGCUAAUACCGGAUAAUAUAUUGAACCGCAUGGUGCAAUAGUGAAAGACGGUUUUGCUGUCAAUUAUAGAUGGAUCCGCGCCGCAUUAGCUAGUUGGUAAGGUAACGGCUUACCAAGGCGACGAUGCGUAGCCGACCUUAGAGGGUGAUCGGCCACACUGGAACUGAGACACGGUCCAGACUCCUACGGGAGGCAGCAGUAGGGAAUCUUCCGCGAUGGGCGAAAGCCUGACGGAGCAACGCCGCGUGAGUGAUGAAGGUCUUCGGAUCGUAAAACUCUGUUAUUAGGGAAGAACAAAUGUGUAAGUAACUAUGCACGUCUUGACGGUACCUAAUCAGAAAGCCACGGCUAACUACGUG
rnacentral:rRNA from 1 species